GAUGGAACAGCCAAGAGGGUUUCGGGGGAGUGUCUCCGCGGCGUUUCACGUGAAGAAGGUGUAUAAUGAAAGAAUCUUACCGGCACUGGAGAGCCAGGGAAAACUUCUGGAAGGAAAUACCAGUUGAGCCGAGAUCUGCAGAACACCAAUUUAACUAAGCUAAAGGGGUAGCGGGAUGAUGGGAGCAGUAUUUAUCAGUGCAGUAAGAGGGAGUACAAGGCCACCAGCACAGCAUGGCCACUAACAGAGUGAUGUAGACCCAUGCCUGGGAACUGAACCCACGCUGCCGAAGCAGAGCAUGUUGGACUUAACCACUAGGCUACUGGGGCUGGCCCAAGACUGCAAGUAUGGGGUUCAGAGAGCUUUCAGGUUGGUGAACACAUCCACACCAGGAGGGUGACACACCCCAACUCCAUGGAGACAGAAGCUCCUGCACUUGGGACCCUCCCAGACCUCACCAUUUCUACCUCUUCAUCUGGCUGUUCAUCUGUAUCCUUUUUCAUAUCCUUUAAUAAACUGGUAAACUUAAGUGUUUCCCUGGAUUUUGUGAGCCACUCUAGGAAAUUAACUAAACCCAGGGGGUCUUUAGAACCUCCAAUAUAUAGCCAGUUGGUCAGAAGCACAGGUGAUAACCUGGUCUUGAGACUGGUGUCUGAAGUGUGUGUUGGGGGUCGCCUUAUGGAAGUGAACCUUUGAUCUGUGGGAUCUGAUGCUAUCUCUGGGUAGACAGUGUCAGAAUCGAGUUAAACUGUAGGAUAUCCAGCUGGUGUUGCAGAGAAUUGCUUGGUGUAGGGAAAAACCUCCACACAUUUGGUGACCCAAAGUAUCAGAAGUGAAGUGUUGGGCCGGCCCAGUGGCUCAGCGGUUAAGUGCGCACAGUCCGCUUUGGCGGCCCGGGGUUCACUGGUUCAGAUCCCGGGGGCAGACCCCUGGAACCACUUGGCACGUCAUGCUGUGGUAGGCGUCCUGCAUACAAAGUAGAGGAAGAUGGG
ensembl:lncRNA